rnacentral:rRNA from 1 species
CCCCUAGAUGUUCUGGGCCGCACGCGCGCUACACUGAACAGUUCAACAAGUCUUAACCUUGGCCGAUAGGUCUGGGUAAUCUUUGAACGCUGUUCGUGAUUGGGAUAGACCUUUGCAAUUAUGGGUCUUCAACGAGGAAUUCCUAGUAAACGCAAGUCAUCAGCUUGCAUUGAUUACGUCCCUGCCCUUUGUACACACCGCCCGUCGCACCUACCGAUUGAAUGGUCCGGUGAAAUCUCGGGACGGCGGCUUGGUCGCUUGCGUCCGACUGCUGAAACUUGAUUAAACCAUAUCAUGUAGAGGAAGGUGAANUCGUAACA